GAAAAUCAACUUGUUCACCUACCUGCCGGGCUGUUCAAAGCCACAACCAAAUUACAAUCACUGGAUUUGACAAGUAAUCAACUUGUUCACCUUCCUGCCGGGCUGUUCAACGCCACAACCAAAUUACAAUACCUAUAUUUGUGGAAUAAUACACUUGUUGACCUACCUGCCGGGCUGUUUGACGCGACAACCGAAUUGAGAUACCUAGGUUUGGACGAAAAUCAACUUGUUCACCUACCUGCCGGGCUGUUCAAAGCCACAACCAAAUUAAACGAACU